rnacentral:rRNA from 1 species
AGAGUUUGAUCCUGGCUCAGGACGAACGCUGGCGGCGUGCUUAACACAUGCAAGUCGAGCGAUGAAGCUUCCUUCGGGAAGUGGAUUAGCGGCGGACGGGUGAGUAACACGUGGGUAACCUGCCUCAAAGUGGGGGAUAGCCUUCCGAAAGGAAGAUUAAUACCGCAUAAUAUAGGAGAAUCGCAUGAUUUUCUUAUCAAAGAUUUAUUGCUUUGAGAUGGACCCGCGGCGCAUUAGCUAGUUGGUAAGGUAAUGGCUUACCAAGGCAACGAUGCGUAGCCGACCUGAGAGGGUGAUCGGCCACAUUGGAACUGAGACACGGUCCAGACUCCUACGGGAGGCAGCAGUGGGGAAUAUUGCGCAAUGGGGGAAACCCUGACGCAGCAACGCCGCGUGGGUGAUGAAGGUCUUCGGAUUGUAAAGCCCUGUUUUCUAGGACGAUAAUGACGGUACUAGAGGAGGAAGCCACGGCUAACUACGUGCCAGCAGCCGCGGUAAUACGUAGGUGGCGAGCGUUGUCCGGAUUUACUGGGCGUAAAGGGUGCGUAGGCGGAUGUUUAAGUGGGAUGUGAAAUCCCCGGGCUUAACCUGGGGGCUGCAUUCCAAACUGGAUAUCUAGAGUGCAGGAGAGGAAAGCGGAAUUCCUAGUGUAGCGGUGAAAUGCGUAGAGAUUAGGAAGAACACCAGUGGCGAAGGCGGCUUUCUGGACUGUAACUGACGCUGAGGCACGAAAGCGUGGGUAGCAAACAGGAUUAGAUACCCUGGUAGUCCACGCCGUAAACGAUGGAUACUAGGUGUAGGGGGUAUCAACUCCCCCUGUGCCGCAGUUAACACAAUAAGUA